rnacentral:rRNA from 1 species
GCAGUUAAUGCGGAGGAAGGUGGGGAUGACGUCAAGUCCUCAUGGCCCUUAUAUCCAGGGCUACACACGUGCUACAAUGAGCGGCACAAAAGGGUCGCGGAACCCGCGAGGGGGAGCUAAUCCCACAAAUCCGCUCCUAGUUCGGAUUGGAGUCUGCAACCCGACUCCAUGAAGCUGGAAUCGCUAGUAAUCGCGGAUCAGCAUGCCGCGGUGAAUACGUUCCCGGGCCUU